rnacentral:rRNA from 1 species
CACGUAGGGCGCGAGCGUUGUCCGGAAUUAUUGGGCGUAAAGAGCUCGUAGGCGGUUUGUCGCGUCUGCUGUGAAAAUCCAGGGCUUAACCCUGGACCUGCAGUGGGUACGGGCAGACUGGAGUGCGGUAGGGGAGAUCGGAAUUCCUGGUGUAGCGGUGAAAUGCGCAGAUAUCGGGAGGAACACCAGUGGCGAAGGCGGCACUCUGGGCCGGAACUGACGCUGAGGUGCGAAAGCGUGGGGAGCAAACAGG